ACGAGGUCGCGGCGGCGGGAAGAUGUAAGUUGUGGGAAUCCGACCCCAUCCGAGCUUCGGGAGCCACCCACUAGGCUUGGCUGGGCGCAUCGUGGAGCCCGCCCGUCUCCCGGUCCCGCGGUGGCAACGGCAGCCUGGCGGCGCAGCGCAGUGGCUGAGAAGAAAGAGUGUGGCCCGGGGCGGGCUGAGUGGGAGGCGCCGAGGCCGCGGCCCGGAAGUGGUCGAGGCUGCGGCGGGCGGAAGGGUGCCCUCGCUUCGUCCGCUCUGCGGCGGGCCCAGUGAGGCCCGCGGGAUCCGGAGCAGCCGGGACCCUGGCCUCUGUCCUCAGGGCCCUCUCGUCGGGCUGGAGACCCAGGCCCGCAUCGCCGGGCGCUGCCCUGGAAGUGCUCGUGGCCUGGCGCCUGGACUGGGGAGUUGCUGCACUUUGGCGUAAAUUGCAAUCGAUUAGGGAUCGUUUCUCAGACUCAAGUUAGAAGUGAGAGUUCAGAUAAGUGAGGCCGCCAUUGCUGCUUUGAACACCUCAGAAGGGGAGAAUGGAUUUAUCAGGAGUGAAAAAGAAGAGCUUGCUAGGAGUCAAAGAAAAUAAUAAAAAGUCCAGCACUAGGGCUCCUUCUCCUACCAAGCGCAAAGACCGCUCUGAUGAGAAGUCCAAGGAUCGCUCUAAAGAUAAAGGAGCCACCAAGGAGUCAAGCGAGAAGGAUCGUGGCAGGGACAAAACUCGAAAGAGGCGCAGUGCUUCCAGUGGUAGCAGCAGCACCAGGUCUCGGUCCAGCUCUACCUCCAGCUCGGGCUCCAGCACCAGCACAGGCUCAAGCAGUGGCUCUAGCUCAUCUUCGGCAUCAAGCCGCUCAGGAAGUUCCAGUACAUCCCGCAGCUCCAGCUCCAGCAGCUCCUCUGGCUCUCCAAGUCCUUCUCGGCGCAGACACGACAAUAGGCGGCGGUCCCGCUCCAAAUCCAAACCACCCAAAAGAGAUGAAAGGAAAGGAAAAGGCGGAGUCCUUCCCCUAAACCCACCAAAGUGCACAUUGGGAGGCUCACCAGGAAUGUGACCAAGGAUCACAUCAUGGAGAUAUUCUCCACCUAUGGGAAAAUUAAAAUGAUUGACAUGCCUGUAGAAAGGAUGCACCCCCAUCUAUCUAAAGGCUAUGCAUAUGUAGAGUUUGAGAAUCCAGAUGAGGCUGAGAAGGCGCUGAAGCAUAUGGACGGAGGACAAAUCGAUGGCCAGGAGAUCACUGCCACUGCUGUGCUGACCCCCUGGCCUAGGCCACCCCCCAGGCGAUUCAGCCCUCCCAGGAGAAUGCUACCACCACCUCCCAUGUGGCGCCGGUCACCCCCACGGAUGAGGAGAAGGUCACGUUCCCCUCGGCGCAGGUCCCCCGUACGCCGGCGAUCCCGCUCCCCCGGCCGCCGCCGCCACAGGAGCCGCUCCAGCUCCAACUCCUCCCGAUAAGCAGGGCCACUGAAGCUCUGCCCCUGUGACUUAUACCCAUCCGACUCAGUUUUGUCACUUUUCUAGCUGAAAGGUGAUCAGUAGGAAAGGAAUCCCUCACUUGGGCAGGCUUUGAAGGCAAAGGCAGCAGUUGAGUUGUUUCCUCUGGCAGCGGAGUUCCAGCUGCAGCAUUGUUGUUGGCUUGGAAUUGUGCCUAUGUGGAUGCCCUCCAGUUUUCUGGCUAGAAAGCUCCCAUGUUGUCAGUUUGGUGGCAGAGCCAGCAGGGAUGAGCAGGGGGCUCCAGGUGGUACAGCCCCAGCCUGGGAUCGUGUUUUUCAUUCCACACAUGUCCUGGGGACAACCUGGUGGCCUGGUGAUGCCCUCAUUUGUUGGCCUGCAGGCUCCCCCAGGAAAGGCUCUACCUUUUGCAGCUGCUGUUCCUGUUAGCCUGGCCCUGCUCCCCUGCUUGAGUCUUUUCUGACCCUGAGGAUCAAAUACCCUAUUAUUUGUCUAAAAUGGUUCUUUUUACAUGUGCUCAUAUGCGUGUGCACAAAUACACAUACACAUCCCACGUCUCCCUUUCUCUCUGAAAUUGGUGAGCAACUUGAGAGCCAGCUCUGCAUUGUCAUCACGGAACCCCCUGUUGUGCUGGUAUUCAUGGUGGUCCUGCAGGUUACCUUGGCAAUGUGUACAUUGCUUUUCUUGACUUUUAUUGUACAGUCAGUACUAUAAAUUUUCUGUUUUGAGUUUUGUAACUUUGUAGCAUUUUAGAUAAUGUUGUGUUUGUACUUUGUUGUGUAGAGUAAAAGGAUUGUGUUGAAUAAACCUAGGAUUACAGUGCA